rnacentral:rRNA from 1 species
UACGUAGGGUGCGAGCGUUAAUCGGAAUUACUGGGCGUAAAGCGUGCGCAGGCGGUUAUGCAAGACAGAUGUGAAAUCCCCGGGCUCAACCUGGGAACUGCAUUUGUGACUGCAUGGCUGGAGUGCGGCAGAGGGGGAUGGAAUUCCGCGUGUAGCAGUGAAAUGCGUAGAGAUGUGGAGGAACACCGAUGGCGAAGGCAGCCCCCUGGGUCAAGACUGACGCUCAUGCACGAAAGCGUGGGGAGCAAACAGG